rnacentral:rRNA from 1 species
GACUACCCGCUGAACUUAAGCAUAUCAUAAGCGGAGGAAAAGAAACUAACAGGAUUCCCUUAGUAACUGCGAGUGAAGCGGGAAAAGCUCAAAUUUAAAAUCUGGCGGCUUUGUCGUCCGAGUUGUAAUUUAGAGAAGUGUUACCCGUGUUGGACCGUGUACAGUUCCCUGGAAUGGGGCGUCAUAGAGGGUGAGAAUCCCGUCUCUGACACGGACUCCCCAUGCAUUGUGGUGCGCUCUCGAAGAGUCGAGUUGUUUGGGAAUGCAGCUCAAAAUGGGUGAUAAAUUCCAUCUAAAGCUAAAUAUUGGGGAGAGACCGAUAGCGAACAAGUACCGUGAGGGAAAGAUGAAAAGAACUUUGGAAAGAGAGUUAAACAGUACGUGAAAUUGCUGAAAGGGAAACGCUUGAAGUCAGUUGCGUUGUGCGGGAACUCAGCCUUGCUUUUGCAUGGUGUACUUCCUGUACGACGGGUCAACAUCAGUUUUGACCGGUGGAUAAGGAUGUAGGGAAUGUGGCAUCCUUGGAUGUGUUAUAGCCCUAUGUCGCAUACAUCGGUUGGGACUGAGGAACUCAGCGCGCCGCAAGGCCGGGUUUCGACCACGUUCGUGCUUAGGAUGC